rnacentral:rRNA from 1 species
UACGUAGGGGGCAAGCGUUGUCCGGAAUUAUUGGGCGUAAAGAGCGUGUAGGCGGCCAGGUAGGUCUGCUGUGAAAACUCGAGGCUCAACCUCGAGACGUCGGCGGAAACCAUCUGGCUAGAGUCCGGAAGAGGAGAGUGGAAUUCCUGGUGUAGCGGUGAAAUGCGUAGAUAUCAGAAGGAACAUCAGUGGCGAAAGCGGCUUCCUGGUCCAGUACCGACGUUCAGGCACGAAAGCGUGGGGAGCGAACAGG